rnacentral:lncRNA from 1 species
GUAAUGUCCAAUUGCAGCUGUAGGAGUGAUGACAGAGAGAUGGGAGCUGGAGGAAACCAAGGAGCCAGGUUUCCUGAGUUAAAGAAAAGCAGAGAAUUGAGGUAAUUAACAGAGGCGAUGCAGUCAAAAGGGAGAUUGGGCCUCAAUGAUCUAACUUGCUCGUGCUGUGGAUAGAACUGGCUGAAGAGAAUGAAAAUCACCAAACAGGGGUUUCCUGUCUCCAGAUUCUUGCCUUCGUCUUCCACUUGUUUUAGACUGCACUAAGGUGGUUAACAAAGUCAGAGGAUUGAAAGAGGCUACUCUGGCUCAAGAGAACCAACCACUGUCUUAGUGGAAGAGCCUUUGAUGCAGGGGAAAAAAAUAAGGAAAAAAAAAGAGUUGACUUCUUCUGGAGAGAAUUCAAACCACUGAAAGAAAUGGGAAACUCAAAAUUCCAGCUCCAGAGUGGCAAUUGGCAAAACUGUUCCUUGGAACUCCGAUUCAACCAGCUCAGGCAAGCUUCUGUCUCACGACCUAUCAAUCAUUCUCUCCCUUGCUACACUACUAAGGUGCUGAGUGCUAAAUCGGCUUGUCCAGAGUUACACAGAUUACCUUACACAACAUCUCCCACUAAGGAGAUCCUCAUGUCUAUGGAUGGAUGGAAUGAGUGGCCUCCUCCUCCGUAGAGCUUACCUGUGGACGUGACUCUCUUUCCCUUGGAUGCUGGCAUGCCCUGGAUAACCAGGGAAAAUGGUGACCAGAAAUAAAAAAGGAACAGUGUGUGGUACUUUUUCUUGU